UUAAGACAAAUGAAUGUUUACAUUAUCCUCAAAGUAUAAAAGCACGUAAUAUUUCGCUAAAUUUAUUCAUUUUAAUUUCAUUUCUCUAUAGAACUAUUCUUUCAACAACUCUCAAUAAUUUUCUAGAAUUAAAAAUAAAAAUGACCAGUUUUAAAUUUUGCGGACUUAUGGUGAUGUUGAUUGCGAGCAUUAUUAUGCUAAUAGCACCCAACGUUAUGGCAAUACCUAAAAAUGGUCGGUGUCAACCUGACGGAAGUUUGGGCAACUGUGACUCUGGAUAUUGUCACAAAGAAUCAGGUUGGAGAUAUGGAGAGUGCAGAUAAUUUCUUUAUUUUUUCUUGCAAGUUUCCUUAUGUUGACUUUAUGCAUUGUUUUCUGGGAAUAAAACUUCUGUUUUCAAAAAAUUAAA